GACGAACGCUGGCGGCGUGCUUAACACAUGCAAGUCGAACGGAGUGGCGAACGGGUGACUAACACGUGGGGGACCUGCCCUGCACUUCGGGAUAAGCCUGGGAAACUGGGUCUAAUACCGGAUCGGGUGGGAUGGGCCCGCGGCCGAUGAGCUGGUUGGUGGGGUAAUGGCCUACCAGGGCGGCGACGGGUAGCCGGCCUGAGAGGGUGGACGGCCACAAUGGGGCUAAGACACGGCCCAGACGCCUACAGGGGGCAGCAGUGGGAAAUAUUGCACAAUGGGCGGAAGCCUGAUGCAGAGACGCUGAGUGGGGGAUGACGGCUUUCGGGAUGUGAACUCCUAUCACCAUCGACGCGGUAGGUGGAGAAGAAGCACCGGCUAACUACGUGCCAGCAGCCGCGGUAAUAC
rnacentral:rRNA from 1 species